rnacentral:rRNA from 1 species
AUUGAACGCUGGCGGCAGGCCUAACACAUGCAAGUCGAACGGUAGCACAGAAGAGCUUGCUCUUUGGGUGGCGAGUGGCGGACGGGUGAGUAAUGUCUGGGAAACUGCCCGAUGGGGGGGGAUAACUACUGGAAACGGUAGCUAAUACCGCAUAACGUCGCGAGACCAAAGGGGGGGACCUUCGGGCCUCACACCAUCGGAUGUGCCCAGAUGGGAUUAGCGAGUAGGUGGGGUAAUGGCUCACCUAGGCGACGAUCCCUAGCUGGUCUGAGAGGAUGAACAGCCACACUGGAACUGAGACACGGUCCAGACUCCUACGGGAGGCAGCAGUGGGGAAUAUUGCACAAUGGGCGCAAGCCUGAUGCAGCCAUGCCGCGUGUAUGAAGAAGGCCUUCGGGUUGUAAAGUACUUUCAGCGGGGAGGAAGGCGGUGAGGUUAAUAACCUCGCCGAUUGACGUUACCCGCAGAAGAAGCACCGGCUAACUCCGUGCCAGCAGCCGCCGUAA